rnacentral:tRNA from 1 species
GGGCGAUUAGCUCAGUUGGCUAGAGCAUCUCGUUUACACCGAGGAGGUCGUAGGUUCGAAUCCUACAUCGCCCACCA